rnacentral:tRNA from 1 species
GCCUGGCUGGCUCAGUCGGUAGAGCAUGCAACUCUUGAUCUUGGGGUCAUGAGUUCAAGCCUCAUGAGUGGCA